GGCCAGGUCACUCAGCUCCAUGUCGCCGAAGGCCUCCCAGGGACAGACCACCGUGAUGUCGGUGCCCAGACCUUCCAUGCCGGGGAUGUCGUCUCCGAAUCUGCGUGGACACACGGGCGUCACGUGACAGGAGGGACUGGUGUACUUCACAAAAUAGAUGGCAUCAUGAGGAAACCACAUCUCAAGACAUCAGCCAGGAAGUUAAAGCUUGAGCGCAAAUGGGUCUUCCAAAUGACCCAAAGCAUACUGCCAAAGUUGUUUUGGAGUGGCCACAGCAAAGCCCUGAUGUCAAUCCUAUCGAAAAUGUAUGAGCAGACCUGACAAGGCAUGUGGGAGCAAGGCGGGCUACAAACUUGGUUCGUUUAAACCAGUUCUGCCAGGAGGAACGGGCCGAGAGUAUUGUGAGACGCUUGUGGAAGGAGAUGCAAAACGCUUGACCCAACUUUAAAGGUUUAACGGUAGUGGUACCAAAUACUAAUGAAAUGUAUGCAAACUUCUGACUUUGUAGAAAGUCAUGAAAAAUCCUUAUCUCACUAUUCUGGCAUUUAGCAAAUAAAAAUAAUUUUGCUGAACUAGUUUUUCUGAUUUAAUGUCAAACAGUGACGGGGGAGGGGGGGGAAGCAUAUUGUAUGUCUUUUUAUAUACUUUAACUUUUGGGUUCAAUGUUUUUAGAACAUUGUUUUUUUUAUUUAAUGACCUAAACGGUUAUUUUAAUUACCGUAAGCACCCUUAAGAAAUACACUGCAAAAAAACAACUACAGUAACAUCUAAUUAAGAUAAACUAUGUUACGCUUGUUCUUUGUCUGCCAAUAUAAAGUAUUUCUUUUAACCAUCCAGUUUAAGCUUUUGAAGCUUCCCCCCCCCCCCCCUAAAAAUCCUAAUGCGCUCUUAUUGCAAUUGAGAUUUGUAUUCCUGAUUAUUUACUGAUUUGCAAUGUGACGAAUUCUUUGCUUACGAUGUCUAAUUUGCGCAUCACGUUGAAGACAAAAAUGCGACCUUUAUUUACUUUAAAUGUCGGUCUGCGAGAUGCACUGGAGUCCACGUUUAACACUAAAAUAGAUGUUGACUGAAAGCCGUGUUAGGCUUGCUAUUUGUGUCUGCGCUGCGUUAGAAGAGAUCAGGGCGGAGAGGGAUGAGUGAAAAGUGCGGCCUAAUUGAGAGUCAUCCCAAAAAAAAAAAGCUGAGCUUUGACCUGCGUUACAUCACCACCUCCUCUCACUCGCUGAACUCCGAAACCUCAAGUGUCAGCCUGAUCUGUGCACGCAAGUCUCAAAUACACGCAAGCGAAAUCAAAUACGUGUGACGAUCGUGACCGGAAAAGUGUUGACUCGGCAACGAGCUACAAUGUGGAAGCUGUAUCUGAAUGGAGAUGAAAAAUAAUAAUGGAAACAAGGCCAUAUGACCAUACAUUCGUGGGGAAAACAAAAUGAAUUUAAAAUCCUUCCAAAUGUCUCAACUUUGAAAUCUAAUAUUACAUAUUAUAUGACAAUAGUGUUGUCAUUUUUAUGAUUUACUGCAGAAGGCCUUAUAUCACCUUCCAGUGAAAAUCUCCAAAUUCUCGUUUUCCUAAAAUGUCUUCUGCUCAAAAGGGAAAAGUUACAAAAGUUGUGCAUGAAUGCUUUUCGUACGACGACGACAGUAUUUGACUUUGAAAAAUAUUCAAACAAAUCUGUAUGUACAUGAUGCAAAAUUCUUUUUUUUCUUUUUUUAACCUUCACCUGAAGCUAUCCAUCCAUCCACGUAGGAGAGGUU